rnacentral:rRNA from 1 species
CACGUAGGGCGCGAGCGUUGUCCGGAAUUAUUGGGCGUAAAGAGCUCGUAGGUGGUUUGUUACGUCCGCUGUGAAAACCUGGGGCUUAACCCCGGGCCUGCAGUGGAUACGGGCAGACUAGAGGUAGGUAGGGGAGAAUGGAAUUCCUGGUGUAGCGGUGAAAUGCGCAGAUAUCAGGAGGAACACCGGUGGCGAAGGCGGUUCUCUGGGCCUUACCUGACACUGAGGAGCGAAAGCGUGGGGAGCAAACAGG